rnacentral:rRNA from 1 species
CGCGUAGGCGGCUUCGUAAGUCGGGGGUGAAAACCUGUGGCUCAACCACAGGCCUGCCCCCGAAACUUCGGAGCUUGAGGCCGUGAGAGGAAAGCGGAAUUCCUGGUGUAUCGGUGAAAUGAGUUGAUAUCAGGAGGAACACCGGUGGCGAAGGCGGCUUUCUGGUGCGGUUCUGACGCUGAGGUGCGAAAGCAUGGGGAGCAAACG